UAGAAGGUGACUUUCUCCAUAGCUGACCCUGUUCAACCUCAGGAAGGAUGAUAACUCUCCGGGAUGUGAGGGAUGUGAGACCCCACCCAAACCCUCUGCGGAGUCAGUGUCCAUGCAAGGAAGAGAAGCCAGGGGCCAAAGACCUAGAAACCACAUUCCCUGGGAAUAGAGAUGCAAGACUCUGCUCCUGUUCCCAUCCAAGGCUUUGACUAAGACCUUGCUGAGGCCUGGAGAACUCGCGUGCUUCCUCUAAAGCCCAGACCGAAGACACCUCCUCUGGAAAGCCUACGCUGACCGGUGAUGGCUGUCCUGCCAGAUGGCCAAGCUGCAUUCUGCCAGGACAGGCUCAUACCCUUCGGGCUGGCCAUGUCGGGACGUGCCAGACCAGCUGCCAGGGCCUGGGGCCUCUUUUGAGGCUUUGACUUGGCCCCCACCCUGGUUCGUGGACCUGUUAUUUCCCCAUGCUGAGCUUCAAGGUUCUGAGGCCAGAGACAGGGUCCUAGUCAAGUUUGAGGCCUCAGAUCCAACACCAUGACCCAGCCCAGUGCUUUUGUGCGUGGAAUGAAGGAAUCCUGACCAUGCUGGGCUGAGACCUGCCAGGGCAAGGGCCCCAGGAGUAGGCACAGGGCCCUGGGGCAUAGCCAUCCUGCCCUGGCCUAUCCCUGCCCCAUGCCUGAGCCCUAUGCUAAGAGCAAGUUCCUGUUGCAAGCUGUACCCUGUCCCAGACACGUGGCAUUUACCAAAAGGGCAGAGACAGUGAGAAGGGCCUCCCCUGUGCCAUCCACUCACAAAGGGGCUGGAAAGGCCAGCAAGAAGGAGAGGAGUCAUAUUUCAAAGGGCUCUGAAGAUGUCACAAUGACGGCAAUGCUCACCACCUCAAACCGCCCAAGGAGCCAUAUCCAGACUAGACAAUAUAAGAAACAGCUGCAGAGCAGCCAGAGGACAGCAACCCUACCCCAGAAAUGGACAUGAGAGAUAAACAGACAAUUAAACAAUUGAGGCCAGGAGUUCGAGACCAGACUGGGCAACAUAGUGAGAAUCUGCCUCUUUAAAAAAAUGUUAAAAUUAGCUGGGCAAGGUAGGGUAGUGUGUGCCUAUAGUCCUAACUACUGAGGAGACUGAGGUGGGAGGAUCACUUGAGCAGAAGUUGAAGGCUACAGUGAGCUAUGAUCACACCAUAGCACUCCAGCCUGGGUGACAGAGUGAGAUCCUGUCUCAAAAAAAAAAAAAAAAAAAAGAAAAGAAAAGAUGCUGAAAAUCAUUAUACAUCACUCUACCUCUAGUAGAUGGGAAAAAUUCGAAAGCUGGAUAAAGCCCAGCAUUGGUGGGGAUGUGAGUGACAGCCCCAUCCCCACAGGGCAUGUACUAGGGGAAUUUGGCAGCUCAUUCAUAGAGUGGGUGGACAGGAAAAUGUGUGGCUGCACAUCAUAGGGUUCCAUGUAGCAGUUGGAAGCAACAAGGCUAGAUUUUAUUUUGAUUGAUUGAUUGACUGCACUCCGUCACCCAGGCUGGAGUGCAGUAGCAUAAUCAUAGCUCACUGCAGCCUCCAACUCCUGGGCUUAAGUGAUCCUCCCGCCUCAGCCUCUCAAGUAGCUGGGACUACAGUUGUACAUCACCAUGCCCAGCUCAAGGCUAGAUUUUAUACAGUGUUGACUCAAUGAGAUCUAUAACACAAUGACAUUUAUCAAAGUAAAAAGAAAAAUACGUGCUUACAAAAGAGUAAUGCCCACCUGCAGGAACCAUACAAACAAAGGCAUCAAAGACAGUAAAAUGGGGAAACAAAAGAAGGGUGUGAGGAAGGGAGGAAAGGAAUAAACACCAAACGAGAAAGGUCAGUGAUGCCAGUGAGCCUGCCAUGGCCUGAGUAACACUAGCCACACCCCCGGUCCACAAUGAGGACCACAUCUGAGGUCCACAGGGAGGAACAGUCCCCAAGGUCCUCAGCGCAGGCUCAGGUGGAGCCAGGAGCCGCUUCCAUGAGGGUCAGAUCUGGGCCUAACCUCAGAGCUUGCCCCUCCCCGCACCCUCCACAGCAGAGGAGGCUCUUGGCCAAAGUCAAGCUGCUGUACACGCAGGGUCGCACCCACCUUGGGCCCCUUUUAUGCCCUGGAAGUGGAAGAGGACAGACCUCAAACUAGAGCAGUGAUUCUGCCCUGAGCUGGGUGCCAGGAGAAAAUGGGAAGCAAGUCCUCACUCUUACAAAAGUUCCUGGGAGGUCAGGCGCAGUGGCUCAUGCCUGUAAUCCCAGCACUUUUGGGGGCAAAGGCAAGAGGAUUGCUUGAGGCCAGGAGCUCAAGACCAGCCUGGCCAGCAUAUUGAGACCCCCAUCUCUAAAAACAUUUUUUUUUUAAUUAGCUGGAUAUGGUGGCUUGCGUCUGUAGUCUCAGUUACUCAGGAGGCUGAGGCAGGAGGUUGAUUUGAGCCCAGGAGGUCCAGGCUGCAGUGAGCUAUGAUCACACCACUGCACUCCAGCCUGUGUGACAGAGUAAGACCCUGUCUCAACUUUUUAAAAAAAAAUUCCUGGAAUUCAGGUAAUUUUUUUUUUCUUUAAGGAGAGUCUUUAUCUUUAGACACACAUUUAGAAAAAUCUGUGAAAUGAUAUAAUGUUAUAAAUGUGCUUCAAAAUCUAGGUGUGGUGGCAGGGGAGAGGGGGCAAGUAGGUGGAUGAAACCAGCUUGGUGAUAAAUUGAUAGCUGCUGAGUCUGGGAAUGAGUGCGUGGGGUUCAUUAUACCUUAUUCUCUAUUUGUGCACGUGUUUCAGAGUUUCCAUAAUAAAAACUUCAAAAAGAAAAACUUCCCAGUAAGAAACUCUCCCAUGUGAGGGGACUAGCCCCUGACCUCAGGGAACCCCACCCAGUCUGCCAGGGGACACACAACCCCUGCCCUGCAUCUUCUUAGCCUGCCUCGGCUGGCCAGGGGCCGCAUUGUAGGACACAGCCAUGGGGGUCCUGACAAAUGCUCAGCCUCGGACCUGGCCUUAUCACUGAAGCCAAGGGUCAGGCACUGGAGCCACAUCUGAGCAGACCUGGUUCUGGUUCCAGCUCCACCUUGCACGUAGCCUGAGGCACCUCACCUGAACCACACCUGCCUGGAUCCAAGUCCUGGGUCAUUAUCAGUGAGAAAGUCCUCCUGCUCUUACUGUGGCUGCUCCUCUCACUGCCUCUGCCUCCACGUCUGUAUGAUGAGGACUGGAAUCACCAGGCAAGUUUGCAAAUUAAAUGAGGCAAUGCUCAGUGUGCACUCAGACAGAGCUGCCAGGACCAGGGGAGGGAGCUGGCCAGGGUCAUACAGCCAGCUAGUGGCAAAACUGGGUUCUUCACGGGAGCAGGGCACCGUGCCAGCUGCCACUCCCAUCCCCCACCAUGAGGCCUUCAGGCCAGUGGACAGCAUGUCUUCUUUCAGAGUCUGAGGCCGUGUCCCUGAGACCCUGCCCUCCAGCCCCAACUCCCAUUCCAGGAGCCUCUGACUCAGGAGAGCACCAGGAAGCCUGCGUGGGCCAGAUGCAAGCCAGGAAGGACAGGGCUGGGGAAGAAGGAGGCAGAAGCCUCUAUCCUGCCCUCCCGGAACACAGAGGUAUCCAGGUACAUCAGUCUGGGAGGGUGCACCCAGACUCAGGGACUCUACCAGGAGACUGCUGGGUGACUCCUAAGUCAGGAGUCUUAGCCUUGCCUGGCCUUUCCUUUAAUUAACAAUAAUAAUAGUCAACAUUUGUAUACCUCCUACUGUGUACAAGGCAGUGUUCUGCUUUAGGUGUAUUAUCUCAUUUAAUUCUCACAACAACCCUAAGAGGCCAAUGCUAUUAUUGUCUUCAUUUUACAGAUGGGGAAACCUAGGCAAAGAGAGGGUAAGUAACUUUCCCAAAGUCACUCAGCUUGCACACAGCAGAGCUAGGAUUUGGCCCCAGCCAGCCUGCCUUGAGUUUGUGCUCUUACCCACCCCAGCGCACUCUCAGACAGCAUGGCCUGGCUUUUCCUGAGCCAGCGCUUCUGAUUCCCCCUGGGGUAUAACAGCUGAUACCCUGUUUAUACCACAACACCUGGGAUGGGAGCUUCACCCAGGGGUGGCAGUGCUAGUACCCGGGCAGCACUCCCACCUUGUCUCUUACUCGGGAAAGCAGAGCAGAAGGUAAGCGGGAAUAACGCUAUCAGAGGGAUGGGUUUUUAACUCAUUAUUUUCUCUUCUUCUUUUUUGUUGUUGUUGUUGAGAUAGGGUGUC
rnacentral:lncRNA from 1 species